AGAGUUUGAUCAUGGCUCAGGACGAACGCUGGCGGCGUGCCUAAUACAUGCAAGUAGAACGCUGAAGAGAGGAGCUUGCUCUUCUUGGAUGAGUUGCGAACGGGUGAGUAACGCGUAGGUAACCUGCCUUGUAGCGGGGGAUAACUAUUGGAAACGAUAGCUAAUACCGCAUAACAAUGGAUGACACAUGUCAUUUAUUUGAAAGGGGCAAUUGCUCCACUACAAGAUGGACCUGCGUUGUAUUAGCUAGUAGGUGAGGUAAUGGCUCACCUAGGCGACGAUACAUAGCCGACCUGAGAGGGUGAUCGGCCACACUGGGACUGAGACACGGCCCAGACUCCUACGGGAGGCAGCAGUAGGGAAUCUUCGGCAAUGGGGGCAACCCUGACCGAGCAACGCCGCGUGAGUGAAGAAGGUUUUCGGAUCGUAAAGCUCUGUUGUAAGUCAAGAACGGGUGUGAGAGUGGAAAGUUCACACUGUGACGGUAGCUUACCAGAAAGGGACGGCUAACUACGUGCCAGCAGCCGCGGUAAUACGUAGGUCCCGAGCGUUGUCCGGAUUUAUUGGGCGUAAAGCGAGCGCAGGCGGUUUGAUAAGUCUGAAGUUAAAGGCUGUGGCUCAACCAUAGUUCGCUUUGGAAACUGUCGAACUUGAGUGCAGAAGGGGAGAGUGGAAUUCCAUGUGUAGCGGUGAAAUGCGUAGAUAUAUGGAGGAACACCGGUGGCGAAAGCGGCUCUCUGGUCUGUAACUGACGCUGAGGCUCGAAAGCGUGGGGAGCGAACAGGAUUAGAUACCCUGGUAGUCCACGCCGUAAACGAUGAGUGCUAGGUGUUGGAUCCUUUCCGGGAUUCAGUGCCGCAGCUAACGCAUUAGGCACUCCGCCUGGGGAGUACGACCGCAAGGUUGAAACUCAAAGGAAUUGACGGGGGCCCGCACAAGCGGUGGAGCAUGUGGUUUAAUUCGAAGCAACGCGAAGAACCUUACCAGGUCUUGACAUCCCGAUGCUAUUUCUAGAGAUAGAAAGUUACUUCGGUACAUCGGUGACAGGUGGUGCAUGGUUGUCGUCAGCUCGUGUCGUGAGAUGUUGGGUUAAGUCCCGCAACGAGCGCAACCCCUAUUGUUAGUUGCCAUCAUUCAGUUGGGCACUCUAGCGAGACUGCCGGUAAUAAACCGGAGGAAGGUGGGGAUGACGUCAAAUCAUCAUGCCCCUUAUGACCUGGGCUACACACGUGCUACAAUGGUUGGUACAACGAGUUGCGAGUCGGUGACGGCGAGCUAAUCUCUUAAAGCCAAUCUCAGUUCGGAUUGUAGGCUGCAACUCGCCUACAUGAAGUCGGAAUCGCUAGUAAUCGCGGAUCAGCACGCCGCGGUGAAUACGUUCCCGGGCCUUGUACACACCGCCCGUCACACCACGAGAGUUUGUAACACCCGAAGUCGGUGAGGUAACCUUUUGGAGCCAGCCGCCUAAGGUGGGACAGAUGAUUGGGGUGAAGUCGUAACAAGGUA
rnacentral:rRNA from 1 species